GCCUCGGUAGCGCAGUUGGUAGCGCCUCAGUCUCAGAAUCUGGAGGUCGUGAGUUCAAACCUCUCCCGGGACA